GAUGAACGCUGGCGGCUUGCCUAAUACAUGCAAGUCGAGCGAACAGACGAGGAGCUUGCUCCUCUGACGUUAGCGGCGGACGGGUGAGUAACACGUGGAUAACCUACCUAUAAGACUGGGAUAACUUCGGGAAACCGGAGCUAAUACCGGAUAAUAUAUUGAACCGCAUGGUUCAAUAGUGAAAGACGGUUUUGCUGUCACUUAUAGAUAGAUCCGCGCCGCAUUAGCUAGUUGGUAAGGUAACGGCUUACCAAGGCGACGAUGCGUAGCCGACCUGAGAGGGUGAUCGGCCACACUGGAACUGAGACACGGUCCAGACUCCUACGGGAGGCAACAGUAGGGAAUCUUCCGCAAUGGGCGAAAGCCUGACGGAGCAACGCCGCGUGAGUGAUGAAGGUCUUCGGAUCGUAAAACUCUGUUAUUAGGGAAGAACAAAUGUGUAAGUAACUAUGCACGUCUUGACGGUACCUAAUCAGAAAGCCACGGCUAACUACGUG
rnacentral:rRNA from 1 species